GACGAACGCUGGCGGCGUGCUUAACGCAUGCAAGUCGAACGAUGAACUUGGAGCUUGCUCUGGGGGAUUAGUGGCGAACGGGUGAGUAACACGUGAGUAACCUGCCCUGGACUCUGGGAUAACUUCGAGAAAUCGGAGCUAAUACCGGAUAGGACCUUGCACCGCAUGGUGUGGGGUGGAAAGUUUUUGGGUUUGGGAUGGACUCGCGGCCUAUCAGCUUGUUGGUGAGGUAAUGGCUCACCAAGGCGUCGACGGGUAGCCGGCCUGGGAGGGUGACCGGCCACACUGGGACUGAGACACGGCCCAGACUCCUACGGGAGGCAGCAGUGGGGAAUAUUGCACAAUGGGCGCAAGCCUGAUGCAGCAACGCCGCGUGCGGGAUGACGGCCUUCGGGUUGUAAACCGCUUUUAGUAGGGAAGAAGCCUUCGGGUGACGGUACUGGGAGAAAAAGGACCGGCUAACUACGUGCCAGCCGCCGCGGUAAAAC
rnacentral:rRNA from 1 species